GAUGGAGAAAGAAUACAGGACAGGAAGAGGAGAGCUUAUAUUUAAAGGUAAGGACGGCUCAGUGGGAUAUAAACUGAAAGCUUACAUGGAAGUCUUCACGUUCUCAUAUUGCUGCAAAGCAAACUAACUGUGUUAUUUAAAGAGCACAUGAAAGUCCUCUGCAGGUUAGUGCAGGAUAAUCAGGUUAGUUUACAGUAAAGAACUGUGUGACAGUGGCUGUGGUGCUCGUGGUUACAUCAAGAGUAACAGAGAUGAACAUGAAUUUCAGCUGGUGAUGCUUACAUGUAGAAAAAAGACGGUGGAAACUGUCAGUGUAGAGGAUUGAAAUCAGCCAGGACAGCUCAUCAAAUACCUGCUUACAUCUUGUUGAUUUCAGUUUCUACAAAGAGCCACUGCAGCUGAUUUUAGGAUUCCCCACCUGCUAAAUCACACUGUGAGAUGGAAACUCCUGCUGAGCAAAAGAAACAAAGGCUGCUCUCUGUUCUGCCAGAAAGCAUCUUGAUGAUCCCCGAGACUUCUGGGAAAAUACUCUGUGGCCUGUUGAACUGUCUCUGCUGCUCGUCUGCAGAGUGACGAGUGUCUCAGCCUUCCACACAGUGAGCCUUUUCUCUUCAUUUUGAUUGUAUCAUGGAUCUGUUGUUUGAUCUCUCCUGGUUUAUUUCUCACAGAUCUCACUCGCUACAGUGACUACAAUAAAAACAUCCUGUUUGUGGAACAGCACAUCUGAUCACUCUGCACUGCACGCUCAAUACAAAUCUCACUGCCAUUUCCGUCCUUCCAUGUGUUAAUCUGAACUGGAACCAAAUGAAGCAGAGUGUAAUCACCUCCUACGAGCCCUCCUGUCUCAGGAAUCCUCCUGCAAAGCCACAAGUCAGCUGUUUCCUGCUCGUCCAAAGUGAACAGUCAUGAAAAGAUCAAUUCAUAAAGAAGUGAAGCAGCAGCAUCAGUCAUGGACGCACAGGUGUUUUUGGAGUCUGUUUUGUGGCACCACCAGCCUGGAGUGACUGGAGCUCCACUGGAUCAUCACCAGUAGGAAGAACAAAAACAACCACGUGGAACAUUUUUGUAGCAUUGCUGCACCAGCACACACUGGAUGUGAUCUGGGAAUGCAUUUCCUUGCAACAUGUACUCAGAUAUUUAUGCAAUACUUAUGUAAGAAUGCUGUUAGUUGACUUCAGCUCAGGUAAAGUUCUUCCCUCCAAGCUGAUCACCAAACGUGUGGAUCUUAGACUCAACAACUCCAUCUGUACCUGGAUCGUGGACUUUCUGACUAACAGACCUCAGCAUGUUAGGUCAGGCCAUAACUGCUCUACCACCAUCACACUCACACUGGCACUCCACAGGGCUGUGUGCUGAGCCCGUUCCUCUAUGACUGCAGACCUUAGUAUGCAUCCAACUCCAUCAUCAAGUCUGCAGAUGACACCACGGUGACUGUCUCAUCACUGACAACGAUGAGUCUGCUACAGGGAAGAAUAAAGCACCUACCUGUGUGGUGCUGACAAUAACUUGCUCCUGAAUACCAGCAAAACCAAAGAGCUCACUGUGGACUUCAGGAGAGAGGAGACAGACACCCAUGUCCCCAUCUGCAUAAAUGACACAGCUGUUGAACGGGUCUCCAGCUUCAAGUUCUUGGUGAUCCACAUCUCUGAGAAUAUGUCCUGGUCAACUGACACCUCCAGCCUGGUCAAGAAGGCCCAUCAGUGCCUCUCUUUCUUGAGGACACUGAAGAAGAACCACCUGUCUGCUGACAUACUGGGUAACUUCCACCACUGUACGAUAGAGAGCAUCCUGAACAACUGUGUCACAGUCUGGUGUGGGAACUGCUCUGUUGCUGACCGCAAGGCACUGCAGCGGGUGGUGAAAACUGCCCAACGCAUCACAGGGACUCCACUUCCUGCCAUUGAGGAUGUCCACAAGAAGAGAUGUCUAUGCCGAGUAUGCAUCAUUCUCAGGGACUCCACUUCCUGCCAUUGAGGAUGUCCACAAGAAGAGACGUCUAUGCCAAGUAUGCAUCAUUCUCAGACUCCUCUCAUCCUGCCAAGAAACUCCUCCAGCUCCUCCUCCCCUCCAGGAGGCGCUACAGGAGCCUUCAGACUAAAACCAGCAGGUUUAGGAGCAGCUUCUUCCUCACAGCUGAACUCAGCCUCCUGCUGAACCUUUCCAUCCACACUCACUGAACCCUUCUACACUCCUCCUCCCAGUGACCAUGAUCAUUCUCAACAUUCACCACAUGCUCACACUGGUUACUGCUGUAGUUUUAGGACACUGACAGAGUCUCUGUUAUAGUGCCUACACUGGUCACUAGUCUGUUCAGAGAGCUACACUUCCACUGCUGUAGAUAUAUUCAUAGCUCUGUAGAUCUGUUUACCUCACACUGAUACAUCUGUACAUAUGUAGCACAUCUGUAUAUUUGUCCAUAGUACACCUGUAAAUCUGCCCGUCUGUACAGCAAUAUAAAACAUCUGUAUGCUACACAUUUGUUCAGCUGUAUGUUUGGUCUCUCUGUUCAUGACUAUUUCACCACUUAUACUACCCUUAUCUGUACAGACCAGUACAUGUUGCUCUCUACUGAACUUACUGUAUAUAAUCUGCUCUUAUUGCACUUACUGAUUAGAUGCAAACUGU